rnacentral:rRNA from 1 species
AUUGAACGCUGGCGGCAGGCCUAACACAUGCAAGUCGAGCGAGCGGCGGACGGGUGAGUAAUGUAUGGGGACUGCCCGAUGGAGGGGGAUAACUACUGGAAACGGUAGCUAAUACCGCAUACUCUCAGAUAACCCAUAUGGGAUUAGCUAGUAGGUGAGGUAACGGCUCACCUAGGCGGCGAUCCCUAGCUGGUCUGAGAGGCUGAUCGGCCACACUGGGACUGAGACACGGCCCAGACUCCGACGGAGGCAGCAGUGGGGAAUAUUGGACAAUGGGCGAAAGUCUGAGCGAGCCAUGCCGCGUGAAUGAAGAAGGCUUUAGGGUCGUAAAGUACUGUCGGCAGAGAGGCGGUAUCCGAAGAAGAAGCACCGGCUAACUCCGGGCCAGCAGCCGCGGUAAUUC